CAGAACAAGAUGACCAUGACCAUGUUCCUGGCUGUGGUGAAGGAACUUUUCAAUCUCCUGCCAGAGAGUCCGUCACCUUCCACUGGGAAAAGGGCCGCCUGCUGGUGCUCUUCAUGCCACUUUCCCACCUUAUGAGCAUGACAGCAUCACAGGGAUCACCACCAGGAAGAUAAAGACUCGCAUAAAAGUAUCAUGGAUUAUCUCCUUGGAAGAAGAAAAAGUUUAGGGUAAGGAUUUGUGAAUCUUGAUGAAACUCAUACAUAAAGCAAUCACAGCGUCAGGAACCUUGUUAUAAUAUCUGCCGGUUGGGCAGUUUUCUCAAUUUACUGUUGUCUGUCUAUAUAGCCUGGUUCAGAAGCAGAAUCGCGACAAGAUGCAACAAAAUUAAAUCGAAGUCUGUAUUGCCCUACAUCCAAAAAGAGGUCAAAGGGUGGAUCGCUCGACUUAGCUUAGCAAUGCUCUGGGCUUACUGCUUCAAAUUUGACCAUACAGGGACAAAGUCUCUUGAUUUACUUGGAAAUGGCCCAAAUCACUGUAAAAUGACUCCUUAGUACAAAAAUGGCAGACUUCCUGUAAGACUUCUUCGAAUAAGCAUAAAAUGGCAGGUUUCCUAUGUUAUGUUUUCUUCUUGAUACAGUUUUGUUUAUUUCUAUCAAAUUUUCAUGUUGCUAAACAUACAGUCUCAGGGGACAGUUAUAAAAAAAAGUCUGACAAUACCUAUUUCCAAGGUCCUGGAAAUAGCCGUAGUGAGCUUUUCAUUUUUACACAAAAGUUUAUCUGACUUUUUGGGAAUUGCUUCUUUUUUGCAAAGGCACUCAUGAUAAAUAUUUUUACCAAAUUUGAUGCUAAUUUGAAAGUGGUUUCUGGGGUUGAAUUGUCAAGGACAAGAUGUCUGACAAGUUUCACUUUAAGGGGCCCCUGAAAAUGGCCAAAUGAAGGCUAAAAUGACAAAACGGACGAUAUCUGGCGUCUUUUCGGGCAUUGUUCCUGGUACUCUUGUAGUCUACUAACAGACAUGGCAACAUUUGGUCUUGUUCAGAUCUUGUGAAGUUUAGAUUCAAAAUAUUGAUUCAAGGACUAAAAACAGUUUUGAUACUCACAACAUCUGAGCAGGAAUCUAUCCAGAUGUGCAUGAACAAAAUACAACUGAGGAUAAAAACAAGACAACAAAAGAGGUGAGAAAACAUUGUCAUGUCUGCGUAAAAUUCCAAAUUUGAUGAUGACCUGGUGCAGUAUUUAGCAUUGUCCUGGAUGCUGGUGCUUCGGGGGUCAGGAAUCAAAGGAGUGGCUCGGAUGAAAGGUGUUAGCACGUACGCCAAGUAAACGGCACCGGGGAUCAACCUAA